rnacentral:misc_RNA from 1 species
AACGCACAUUGCGCCCAUUAGUAUUCUAGUGGGCAUGCCUGUUCGAGCGUCAUUCGACAGUUAAGCCCCUGUUGCUUAGCGUUGGGAGCCUACCGGGCGCGCGUCGCGCCCCGCGUAGCUCCUCAAAACCAGCGGCGGGGCCGGUCUCGCGCUCCAGACGUAGUAACGCACCUCGUCUGCGGGCCGGGCCGGUCUCUCCAGCCGUAAAACAAACCCCUUCAGUAACAGUUGACCUCGGAUCAGGUAGGAAUACCCGCUGAACUUAA